UACGGAGGGUGCAAGCGUUAUCCGGAUUCACUGGGUUUAAAGGGUGCGUAGGUGGGCUGGUAAGUCAGUGGUGAAAUCCCCGAGCUUAACUUGGGAACUGCCAUUGAUACUAUCAGUCUUGAAUACCGUGGAGGUCAGCGGAAUAUGUCAUGUAGCGGUGAAAUGCUUAGAUAUGACAUAGAACACCAAUUGCGAAGGCAGCUGGCUACACGAAUAUUGACACUGAGGCACGAAAGCGUGGGGAUCAAACAGG
rnacentral:rRNA from 1 species